CCUACGGGCGGCAGCAGUGAGGAAUAUUGGUCAAUGGACGAGAGUCUGAACCAGCCAAGUAGCGUGAAGGAUGACUGCCCUAUGGGUUGUAAACUUCUUUUAUAUGGGAAUAAAACGUUCCACGUGUGGGAUUUUGUAUGUACCAUAUGAAUAAGGAUCGGCUAACUCCGUGCCAGCAGCCGCGGUAAUACGGAGGAUCCGAGCGUUAUCCGGAUUUAUUGGGUGUAAAGGGAGCGUAGGUGUAUUGUUAAGACAGUGGUGAAAGUUUGCGGCUCAAGCGUAAAAUUGCAGUUGAAAGUGGCAGUCUUGAUUAGAGUAGAGGUGGGCGGAAUUCGUGGUGUAGCGGUGAAAUGCUUAUA
rnacentral:rRNA from 1 species